rnacentral:rRNA from 1 species
AUUGAACGCUGGCGGCAGGCCUAACACAUGCAAGUCGAACGAGUGGCGGACGGGUGAGUAAUGUCUGGGAAACUGCCCGAUGGAGGGGGAUAACUACUGGAAACGGUAGCUAAUACCGCAUACCAUCGGAUGUGCCCAGAUGGGAUUAGCUUGUAGGUGAGGUAACGGCUCACCUAGGCGACGAUCCCUAGCUGGUCUGAGAGGAUGACCAGCCACACUGGAACUGAGACCAGGUCCAGACUCCUACGGGAGGCAGUAGUGGGGAAUAUUGCACAAGGGGUGCAAGUCUGAUGCAGCCAUGCCGAGUGUAUGAGGAAGGCCUUCGGGUUGUAAAGUACUUUCAGCGGAGAGGCGUUACCCGCAGAGGAAGCACCGGCUAACGCCGUGCCAGCAGCCGCGGUAAUAC